UACAGAGGGUGCGAGCGUUGUCCGGAAUCACUGGGCGUAAAGGGCGCGUAGGCGGCCUGAUAAGUAGGGGGUGAGAUCCUGUGGCUUAACUGCAGGGCUGCCUCCUAGACUGUUAGGCUCGAGCACGGUAGAGGCAGAUGGAAUUCCCGGUGUAGCGGUGGAAUGCGUAGAUAUCUGGAGGAACACCGGUGGCGAAGGCGGCAUCCUGGACCAACACUGACACUGAGGAGCGAAAGCCAGGGGAGCAAACGGG
rnacentral:rRNA from 1 species